rnacentral:lncRNA from 14 species
CCCGGAGCCCUGGGCCAGGAGGAGCCGCAGGGAAAGGGCUUCAUGGAAGGGGAGCAGGGAAAGGAGCCCCGGGGCAGGGAUGGGGACGGCAGCGGCCAAAAGUCCCUUGCAGAGGACGGGGAGGAGGCAGCGGAGGACACGGAGGGGGCUCUGGGGGCAGAGGGGACCCCACGGAGCACAGGAGGGCUGGAAGGCGAGGACAGAGCUGGAGCAUGGCUGGAGGGAAGCCAAGCAGAGGAUGAGGAAGGGGCUGAGCCGGCCCCGGCGAGGGAUGAGCAGGACGGCUCCAUGGGGGCAGGCGGUCCUCACUGGCCCCCAGGGGCGAGGGGAGAGCCUGGAGCUGGUCGAGGCUCGGGAAGGGCAGGAUGAGGAUGCUGAUGAUGAGGAUGCUGAUGCUGAGGAUGCUGAUGAUGAGGAUGCUGACGAUGCUCCCGGCUCCAGCCCCGCAGAGCUUCUGCAGGCACCAGGCAUGGAGAGGGAUGGGGCAUUGGAGGAUGAUGAGGAUGAGGAUGAGGAUGGGGGCUCGGGGGAGCUGGAGGAGGCAGCAGGACCAGGCAGGAGGCUGGAGCUGGAGGACACGCUGCCCGACAGCACCCCCUGCAUCUCUAUGGAGGGGAGGUGCUGGAUGUGGCCCCAUCCAGCCAAACCCCUCCAGAGGCUGAGGACACCUUGGAGGCAGCAUCUGAAGGAGCUCCAGAGGAUGAAGGGUGGCUGGAAGGGAGGGACAAGCCCCCAUCUCCCAGCAUGGCCCAGAGCCAUGAGGAGGAAGCAGGGGCUGAGGAGGAGGAAGGUUACUUCAUGGUCUCUGCUCCCAGCCAAGAGGUUUCCAGCUCAGAGGAAGCUGAGGACUUUGAAGAGAUCAAAGCUGAAGCAAGCGAAGGCAGCCGAGGUGAUGGGGAAGCUGCCAGAGGAGCAUCCCCAGCGCCAGGGGAUGAAGGGCACUGUGAGGAAUCAGCUGGAGCAGAUGCAGCCAUGAGGAUGCCCACAGAGAUGCUAAAGGAUGAGGAGGAGGAGUCUGAGGCGGGUUCCUCCGAGCCGGAGGAAGGCCCCGUUGUGCCUGGGGCCAUGGGGCUGGUGGCGGGAGGAGGCACUGAGGAACCAGCCCAAGCUGCUGAACCAGAUGAGGAGCUCGAUGGAGCAGUGGAGCCGGACGGUGCUGGAACACCCCAAGGCUGCAGCCUGGGGAUGGACGAGGAGGAUCCCAUGGCUGAGCCCAUCCCUCCGGCAGUGCUCCAGCCCCAGGAGGUGCCGGAUCCUCUGCCACACCAAGCAGAG